AUAUAGAUGCGUCUAGUAUAUGCAACUAUACUGUGAAACUGCGAAUGGCUCAUUAAAUCAGUUAUCGUUUAUUUGAUAGUACCUUACUACUUGGAUAACCGUGGUAAUUCUAGAGCUAAUACAUGCUAAAAACCUCGACUUCGGAAGGGGUGUAUUUAUUAGAUAAAAAACCAAUGCCCUUCGGGGCUCCUUGGUGAUUCAUAAUAACUUAACGAAUCGCAUGGCCUUGUGCCGGCGAUGGUUCAUUCAAAUUUCUGCCCUAUCAACUUUCGAUGGUAGGAUAGUGGCCUACCAUGGUUUCAACGGGUAACGGGGAAUUAGGGUUCUAUUCCGGAGAAGGAGCCUGAGACACGGCUCCUACAUCCAAGGAAGGCAGCAGGCGCGCAAAUUACCCAAUCCCGACACGGGGAGGUAGUGACAAUAAAUACUGAUACAGGGCUCUUUUGGGUCUUGUAAUUGGAAUGAGUACAAUUUAAAUCCCUUAACGAGGAACAAUUGGAGGGCAAGUCUGGUGCCAGCAGCCGCGGUAAUUCCAGCUCCAAUAGCGUAUAUUAAAGUUGUUGCAGUUAAAAAGCUCGUAGUUGAACCUUGGGCCUGGCUGGCCGGUCCGCCUCACCGCGUGCACUGGUCCGGCCGGGCCUUUCCUUCUGGGGAGCCGCAUGCCCUUCACUGGGUGUGUCGGGGAACCAGGACUUUUACUUUGAAAAAAUUAGAGUGUUCAAAGCAGGCCUAUGCUCGAAUACAUUAGCAUGGAAUAAUAGAAUAGGACGUGUGGUUCUAUUUUGUUGGUUUCUAGGACCGCCGUAAUGAUUAAUAGGGAUAGUCGGGGGCAUCAGUAUUCAAUUGUCAGAGGUGAAAUUCUUGGAUUUAUUGAAGACUAACUACUGCGAAAGCAUUUGCCAAGGAUGUUUUCAUUAAUCAGUGAACGAAAGUUAGGGAUCGAAGACGAUCAGAUACCGUCGUAGUCUUAACCAUAAACUAUGCCGACUAGGGAUCGGGCGAUGUUACUUUUUUGACUCGCUCGGCACCUUACGAGAAAUCAAAGUCUUUGGGUUCUGGGGGGGGGAGUAUGGUCGGCAAGGCUGAAACUUAAAGAAAUGACGGAAGGGCACCACCAAUGGGAGUGGAGCUGGCGGCUAAUUUGACCUCACACGGGCAACCUCACCAGUCAGACCCAUAGGAUGACGAUUGGAAGCUCUCUGGAUUUGGGUGGUGGUCAUGGCCGGUCUUGAGUGGGUGGAGGUAAUGGUGGCAUAAUUGCGAAAAGCGAAGCGGAAGCACUCC
rnacentral:rRNA from 1 species